rnacentral:misc_RNA from 1 species
GGGACUGACGAUCACGCAGUCUAU